GACGAACGCUGGCGGCGUGCUUAACACAUGCAAGUCGAACGGAAAGGCCCAGCUUGCUGGGUACUCGAGUGGCGAACGGGUGAGUAACACGUGGGUGAUCUGCCCUGAACUUCGGGAUAAGCCUGGGAAACUGGGUCUAAUACCGGAUAUGACCAUUGGUUGCAUGACUUUUGGUGGAAAGCUUUUGCGGUUCAGGAUGGGCCCGCGGCCUAUCAGCUUGUUGGUGAGGUAACGGCUCACCAAGGCGACGACGGGUAGCCGACCUGAGAGGGUGAUAGGCCACACUGGGACUGAGACACGGCCCAGACUCCUAGGGGAGGCAGCAGUGGGGAAUAUUGCACAAUGGGCGCAAGCCUGAUGCAGCGACGCCGCGUGGGGGAUGACGGCCUUCGGGUUGUAAACCUCUUUCGGCAGGGACGAAGCGCAAGUGACGGUACCUGCAGAAGAAGCACCGGCCAACUACGUGCCAGCCGCCGCGGUAAUAC
rnacentral:rRNA from 1 species